UCUGUUGAAAGGUCAAAAAACGUCUCCUGCAUUUACUUUUAGAGCGGUCUUUCUCCUCCUGCAUUCACUUUCAGCUGCUACUUUACACCGAACGUCUGCACGUUAAAGACCUCCGGACCCACGCAGCUGUCAUCCGGGCAGAGCUGAGUAGCCACGUCCCGACAGAAGCCUUACAGGCCCUAGCUCGCUCCUGACUGAGAGGCCUGGAGCCCUCCCCGAGCUCCAGCGACCCCGAGACCAGCACGCACAUCCCACUACCCGUCCGGUGAGGAGCGGAAUGCCGCCUGCGGUCACGUGCUGCCGCCUCCGGUCACGUGCUCCUACUCAACCAACAGGCGACGGCGCCCGUGCCACUGGCUCCCCCUCCCCACCUUCUCCGGAGACGUCGGGCUCGCGCGGAUCUCGCGGGAGCGGCGGGCCGUAUUUAAAGGCCGCGGAGGCACCGCCCGCCCUCUUUCCCCGCCGCCCGGCGGUGAGGCGCUCCGGCGCGAGGUCCCCACGAGGUCUCCCGAUGCUCUCCGGGGUUCUGCCCAGCUGGUCGCUCCCCGUCCCGGCGGCCGCUGCCAUGGCCGUGCUGGGGCUGGAGCCUCGCUUGCCGAUGCCGGAGUCACUUAGUGAUUUCAUGAUUGAAGCGGGCUAGAAAUGGAUGAUCACACCUAAACUGAAAGCAGUCCUCAGGAUUCCUUAGGAAUGAAUAAUACCUCCUGUUAAGAAGAGUUCAAGUGUGUUGGUGCUCCUUGACUGCCUAGAAUAUGCCUCAUGAGAUAAACAAUAUGGAGUCAAAAGAGUUCCUUGUAAAUUGAUUGGUCUUCCAGACUUGCCCUGGACCAGAAUGUGUGCUAAUUGUAUGGGCAAGGAAAAUCUUGUCCUGGGAAAUGUAAUCUUUAUGGAGAAAUGCCCUUGAUUAAAGAGAGAAAACCAGCAAGGGAUGUGCAAGGCAUCAGAACUGAUCUGUUGAGUGGAUGAUUGCAGACUUCACACAAGAUCACUCAGUUGUCCUAUGUAAUGUUUUGUCUUGAACUGAAACUGACUCAGACUAUUACAUCUUCAAUGCUCAUGUUUAAACAAUCUAGCCAUUGGUUGCAACAGAAGUUUCUUAAAAGCUGGGGCAAUUUAUUUCUGUAUGGAUUGACUGAAAUAAAGUUAAUACACGAAGCUUGUGUUGUGAAGUUCUCUCAUCUAGGUGUUCCCUAUUCAAAGGUAUUCAGAAGUUAAGAGUGUUAAUUUACUUCACUUUGAAAUCACUUUAGUUUGAGGUCAGUGGCCCACUUCUGAAUUAUUUAAAUAGGCUAUGAUAAUUUGCAUAUUGUCCAAUUAGUCAAUAGAUGGUCUCAAAAUUGCUGAAGACAUAAUAGAUGAAGAGAUCCUCAAAGAUUGCUAUUUAAAAUACAACAAAAUAUUUUUCUGCUGCAGGCUUCCUUUUAAAGAGCCUAUUAUGAAGGAUUAUGGAGAGCAGGAACAAUGUUCUCCAGCAACUGAAAGGCUGCAUCUCCUAAGUCAAAAAUGCAGGUUUCCAUGUGAAAGUGUGAAACUGUAAUUUGUGUAUUCUGUUACUAGCUGAUGCUUCAAUUGAAGGCAUAAGCAAGAAUAACAAUAGCUCCAAUUGGCUGUUAGGCAAUCCCUACUGCUGAGUUGGUGCAGUGGAUUCUUGCAGGGUUAGGGCCAAAUGUAAAUAACCUUGGUCAGAUUAAAAUUCCAUCUAGACUGGAAGUAAGUUUCUGGUUCUUCACUUAAGCAUCUGCUAAAUGGGGCAAGUAUUUGAAGGUUUAUAAUUUCUAGCCUGUCGGAUUUACCUUAAGUAUAAGCUUUGAAACGUUUUCACUUCUGGAAACUAACUUUGGCAACAAGACACUUGUUCCUCUUCUUUCUGCACUGAGAAAAGUGCCCUUGGAGGACCUACUUGAAGACUCUGAAAAUGAAGCCUGUUCUUUCAGGCCAAGAUUUGUGAUUACCUGUUGACUUCUCCAGAGGCUUACUGCUAAGGCAUUACUGCCCUUCAUAGUUAGUGCUUUUUGCAUGUCUUGUAAUUCUUUGCUGGAUAACACUCAGAGGCCAAUGAGUGGCUUGCACUAUCAAAGAUUAGUAUUAACUACUUCUAUUUCCAGCUAAAUGAUGUCAAGCCAGACUCAUUUUAUAGGUUUCUGUAUAAAGGUUUUGUGCAAUAGGGAUUGCAAGAAAAAGCUAAAGAGGAAUAAAAGUGAAUGAGAGCUACUAGGUAGCUUUUAAUCUGUACAUUUCUUGUAAUUCUGAUUAUUGACUGCACAUCUAAGGGUGAUGCUUGAGAGUUUUGUUGGCUAGACCUGCAGCAGAUUCAAUUCUGUUCAGCAAGAUGGUCUGUCAGGCAGGAAGAGUGCAUUUUCUAUUCUGUUUUAGCAAGUUAUUAUAACUGGGUUUCAGACUUGAUCAAAGGAGGCAUGGAAAGAAGAUGAAGUAUAUAAGAUGCUUAGGGAGCAAACUCAUACAGAAGAGAAGCCUUUCUAAAGAGUCUAAGUGUUUAAAAAUGAUCUUAGGGGGAUUCUUUUAUAUAAAAGGGGCAAGGAAAAGGGACGAAGAUAAGCCUAAAAGAAACAGUGGAGCACCUUGUUCUGAAGAGAUGAUGAAAGAUUCUAUUCUUACAGGAGAAUAGAGGAUAAGAGCUUUUUCCUGGAAAUCAACAUCUCUAGUGAUGUAGUGGUAGACUGUGAGUUUUGUUUUUCUUUUUGAAGUUCUUCUUCCAUUUUCUCCCUCUAUCUAUUUUAAGCUUUUAGAGGGCUUUCUUGGAAUGUGAGCAAGUAGUCCAAACUUAUUGGGACUCACUUGGAAAGAAAUUUUAGUCAGGAUUCUCUUUCAGAGGUAACUAACAUCAUUAAUUGUAGAUCGUUAGUGUCUCUUGAAAUGCAGGCAGUUAUAUUCAUUAGGCUUGAGAAUUUGUGGUUCUGCAGCUGGCAAACACAAACUCUGGUUAACCUUGAAACUUUAUGGAAAGAAAACCAGCAAAAUAUCAGUAGGGUGAGGAUAAUGUAUGAAUGCUCUUGUACCUAAGGAGCAAUGGGUGUGCAUCCUGUGCAUUAAUUUGGAUUAAAGCAAGCAGGCAGGCACUUCCUAUAAAGCUGUAGUGGUCUUUAGAUAUUAGGUAUGUACUUUCUUAACACUUUUUACACUUGGUUUCAGAUGGAGCUAACAUUGGAUUCUUCAACAUAUCAGUACUUCUAAGUUUAUCUAAGCAAAGUUGAAAACUGCAUGACCUUCACAAGACAUUCACUGCUGCAAACAGGGUCUUUGCUGUUUGGUGCACUUUGAUGUAAAGAUCAGAGACUUCCUCACAGUGGUUUGGCAUUUGAGUUCUAUGGUUUUUACUCAGUGCACUGAAGACGUUAAUACUCUUUCAGGCUGAGGUAUAGAAGCUUGGAAUAACGAUUUAUUAUCUUCAGAUUGUAUUGUAUGCGUGCUUAAUCUAAGGUGCCAAGGUAAUGUAAUCCAGAAUAUGCAUUUUAAUUUAAAUAAUCCUAAUUAAAAUCUUGAGCAGGAGGAGUAAUUGGAAAUAGGUAAAUCCUAGGAAGAUGAGUGUGCCCAAAACCAAGGGAGAAAUAAAUGUGGGGAGUUGCAGCUUUUAGCACUGCCUGGCCAUGGAGACAGCAGGUGAUGCAGAUCCCUAGUUUGUCUCCUGGGAGCAUGCAAGGUCAUUUAUUAUUUCCUUCUCAAUGGUUUAUUGCACACCAAAGCAGAGGUGGUAUGUGGCCUAUGAGUCAGAGUGUUUUUUAGUCCUUCUCCUGAGAAGUGAAGGUGAACUUGAAGAUGAAGUUGUAUAAGGGAAUUUGGCUUAGGUUUUAUUAGCUCUUCUGCCAUUGAGUCUCAUUGCAACUGAUGUAGGAGGAUGAAAUUGCAGCUUCCUUUUGGUUAUGUCACCAUCUCUCCCUUAUAAAUAGAAUGUUAUCUCAUGCAAUUUGGAAAGUGAAAGAAAAUAAAUAGGAGCUCUCUGGAAUAAUUUCUCUGCAUUUUCUCCACAAGCUACUUGAAAAGAUUGCUCAUUCAGCCUUCCCAGGAUCUUAGUACUGAAUCCUAUUAGAUUCAUCACUUCAUUCUUUUCCCUGAAAUGUAAUCAUGAAAUGCACACAACAUACUUAGUAAGGAAAGUAAAAAAGGAGGGGAAUAAAGCCAAGUAAAGUAUGCAGAAGGAUGUAGUUUGUUUCCAGCAAUAAUGUGUUCUCUCCUAUUCAUCCAGACUUGAAGAUAUUGGAUUCUCAUUCCCCCCGAUAAAUGAAAAGAGAGAAAUGGCAACAACAGACGCAGAGAAGCCAGAGGUACUCAACAAGUUCUUUGCCUCAGUCGUCCCUGGCUGUCAGGCUUCUCAUGUCCCUUGUGUCCUUGAAUCUCUUGGUGGGUACUGGGGGAGCAAAAUCCCUCCUACUGUAAGCAAAGACUUGGUAAGAUAGACUCAGUAUUAAUAUUGUUACUCAGGAUAAAAACAGGAAGUUAUGAAAUAGCAAUAAUUCACUGAUAUUCAGGAUUAAACUGCAGAAACUGCAAUGAAAGAACAGAUCACUUAUCCAGAAAGGAAAAAAUUAUAAUUCUUAAAGAAAAAAGCAAAGGUAAAUUAUUAGUCAAAUUGUAAGCUGAACAAGAUCAGAAGUGAGUUCAGGUUAGCAGAAGUGAAGAUUUGUGAGAAAUGGAACAAGUAACCCCACUUCAUAUAACCCAAUCCCUUCAGGCUGUGCAGCACAGGAGAGGUGAGCUGCUGUGACAACGAGGAGGCACAGCUGAGGACAGGACCUCAAAUGUUGUUAUACAUUACUAUUAUGAACAGCAAACUCAGAAAGAUAACCAAGUUUUGUAGACAAGUGAUGGGACCUGUCCUUGCUCUGCUCAAGUAAAAUAGUGCAGUUUCGUUGAAUUUCAUGCUGAUUUACACCUCUGGAGACCUGGUCUUGCCUUUGUGCUAGCAUGCUUAUCACUGUGCUGCUUUACAGAUCCCAGUGGCCUCCUGCCUAAGAAUGGCUUGAAUCCUCAGUUUCGGAAGUUUUGAAGUUACCUUGAUUUGAGCAGCCCUUUCAGCUCCUAAUUCGUAGGUCUGAAGUCAGCGAGAGCUGAGAGCAGCCCUUCCAUCAUCCUAUGGUUUACAUGGGAUGACAUCUUUUAAUAAAAUACGCAACAACUCUAAUAAUUUUCUUUAAAAUACAUUUUUAAAAUGAUAGCACUUUAUAACUUCUUCCUCUUAAAGAAGAAUUACAUGGCAGCAGUUACUCACCAUGUAGCAAAUGCUGUUCCUGCAGUUCAUAAAGUGACAGCAGCACUAUUACUCAUGGUACUGUGAAGCAGUUUGAGAUGCAUGGGGCAUUUCAGAAGGUAAAUAUUCUCUGUUUUUCUUUACCAUUUUGUUUCAUAUCAUGCCAAUAACUUGACAUGCAGACAGAGCACUUGUCUGAUAGCUGAUUCAGUAAUCAAUUAAUAGUCAUUAUUCAAAUCAAAAGGAAAACUCUCAGCCACUUUCAAAUAAAUAAAAAUUCUCAUGUUCUCAGUGUUUUAUGAUAAUUUCUUGGCACACUUUCUUUUUCCUUAGUGAUUUCCUAACAUCAUUCUCUGGGUCAGACCAAGAGCACGGAGCAGACCUACCUCAAUCAGGAUGGCUUGGAUCACAUCCUUGUCUCAUCUGCACCUUAACACAGCUUCCAGGAGGAUCUGUUCCCUGAUCCCUCAGACGCAGAGCUGAGGCUUACUGGCUGGUAGUUCCCCAGCUCUUCCCUUCUAUCUUAAAAAUGGGAAGGAUGUUUCCCUUUCUAUAGUCACUGGGGACUUCACCUGACAGCCACAGCAUUGUGAAUAUGAGUGAGUGAGGCUUGGCAACUGCCUCAUCUGGUUCCUUCAGGACCCUGGGAUGCGUGUGGUCCGGUCCCACAGACUUGUACAAAUUCAGUCUCAUCACGUGGUCUGGAAUAAGGUUAUUUUAUAUCUUUCUGACAUUUUGUGUAAGUUUGUGUGACAGCAGAAAAAGUUCCUUAUAAUCUGAAAUAAACAUCUUGGACUUUGAAAUAGCA